rnacentral:rRNA from 1 species
AGCGAGCGCUGGCGGCAGGCCUAACACAUGCAAGUCGAACGGAUCCUUCGGGAUUAGUGGCGGACGGGUGAGUAACACGUGGGAACGUGCCCUUUGGUUCGGAACAACUCAGGGAAACUUGAGCUAAUACCGGAUGUGCCCUUCGGGGGAAAGAUUUAUCGCCAUUGGAGCGGCCCGCGUCUGAUUAGCUAGUUGGUGAGGUAAAGGCUCACCAAGGCGACGAUCAGUAGCUGGUCUGAGAGGAUGAUCAGCCACAUUGGGACUGAGACACGGCCCAAACUCCUACGGGAGGCAGCAGUGGGGAAUCUUGCGCAAUGGGCGAAAGCCUGACGCAGCCAUGCCGCGUGAAUGAUGAAGGUCUUAGGAUUGUAAAAUUCUUUCACCGGGGACGAUAAUGACGGUACCCGGAGAAGAAGCCCCGGCUAACUUCGUGCCAGCCGCCGCAGUAAGAC